AGCGAUCGACUGUGCUUGUUCAGUUCUGAUUAUUUCGUUUGAGAAAACUCCAAUGCAAUUCUAAUAUUGUGUCAAAAUCUAAAUAUACCGUGUUACAUCCAUUUCCUUGUGUGGCAGCUAUUUGCAUCGGUUUUAUUUUAUAACAAAUCGAAUUCUCGCUACUGCUCAAUUAUCUUAUGGCUAACCUCAAAAUAUGUCGACUCUUCUAUUUUAGUACAUUUUAUCGUUUUUAUUUCUCUUAUCAUGUUUUAUUUAUUGUAUUGUUUCGUUGACAGAUUAGUUAAAAACAAAUCCAUGUGCUUCGAUGGAAAUUCUAAAUUACAAAUAUAAUACAGUCACGCCCAAACGAAACGCAUCACUUUCAAUAUAUAUAGCGUUACAAUGUAACAAUAAAAUACCGUUCGUAGCGGAUAAGACCUGUCAGCUGAUCGAUAGUCCUUACACUAUUUUUCCUGAUUAUUGAUUCUAUUUUUUUUUUUUUUUUUUCACUGAGCUCUCAAGGUAUUCGCAGUGCUAUAUGUUUCGAUAGAAAUCUUAGAAUUUCUUUUAACGCAAUGAUCGAAUUAUUUAUCAACGGACGUUCGGACUAAACUACAAAUGAUUUUUUUCGUUGAAUAAUAAAAUAAAUCAUUUGUUUUGUUAUAGCUUCUGCAUGGUUCAUUAUUCGUCUCUUAGAAAAGUAUUACCGCGAGCUAAUAUAAGUGACUUUUUAAUCAUCAAAAACCUGCAUAUUAUCGAUAUUUCAAAGCUUUGAUCGCCCCGAUACUAUUCCGUAACGAGGAAAACUUAUAAGUUUAAUAUAUUGUAUUAUGUAUAUCGAAAACGAAGGCACGGGUGUAUUGAGGUCGAAGCCACAAAAUGCUACUUUAUAUCCACGAGUGAAUAGCACAUGUUGCAUGUAUAGAUAUUUAUGUAAGAUGAAAGCAAUUUGCAUUCGAUUGUAACCCACGAACACAAAUCAGUUUUACGAUAAAGUUUUAGUUUUUUCUUUUGUACGCAAUGUGAUUUCGUCAAUCAAUUGAGUGCUGUAUCAAGAAAAUAAAUUAUUUCGAGCAAUAUCAAAGAAUGAAGAUUUUGAUUUUGUUCACUUUGCAUUAAGAGUAUGAAACAGUCGACUAACCUCACUUUUGCGGAAUCUCCGAAAUCAAAAUUUGCAGCAUCUCUCUCGCACUCACGGUUGCGUUAUAUACCGACUAAUGCAUUCUAUUAAAAUUAAAAUAACAUUUUUAACAAGCGCCAUAUUCCAAUAUGCUAAAAAAAAAUUCUCAUUUGACUGUUAAAGAAUCGCGAGCUGAAAAUAAAAACCUGAAUCAUGGGCCGGAUACGAAUAAACUCAGGCUUUACGUUUCCGCAGUAGGAAAAAAAAUUGGAACCAUUUCUAAGAAUCAAACAGAAUGAGGAAAAAGUUCGGUUUCCUCGCUGGAAUUCGUUGUUUUUUAUGGACGUAAAGAUAGAGCCCAUGUUGUUUUGAUUUGCUUCACACACGAGUCAAUUUUUCAUUGUGCUAUGGGCGAUACAGGCUUGAGAUUUCGCUUCUAUUUUUUAGGAAUGUUCCAAUUAUAGCUUAGACUAAAAGUGAUGCUUCUCGAACCGGACCUUUUUAAUGUACGAUCUUUGCGGUUAUAAAGCGAUUCCAACAUUGAAAUAUUUGUUGAGCCCACCAUAAGAAUGAAUUUAAAUAACCGGAUUUAAAUUCAUUCCGGAUUUUUUGUAUUCAAUUUCGUAAUAAUUGAUUCGACGUUUCUUGGAACAUUUUGUCUUGAGGGGCAAGUCGCCUGUCCAAAAAAACCUUUUUUUCUUCAAUUAUUGUAGUUAAAAUACCCAUAAAAGUUUAAUAAAAUCGUUUCACAGCAACGUUUCAAUUCUAGUUUCCCAUUUCAGUUGAUUUGGAGGAGCGUCUUCCGCUCCAAGUUUUCUCUUUGAAUUUCUAGUACACAUUAUUCUACUAUAAACAUGAGCGCCGAUUUGUCAUGUUAGAGCUUCUACAACAGAGAAAAAAUUACCAAAACAAGUUUAAACAAUUUGGGAAUAACGCGACUUACCGACGAAGCUUCAGAUCGUAGCGUCGUUUCUCAGUGGGAAAAGAUAUACCGAAAAAUAUAAUAAUCCCUCAGAAUCGGUAUGCGACGUAACCGCAACGAAUGGUUGAAUUCUAUCCGAUUCAUUGUGGAAAGCGACAUUAUCAAAAAACGUCCAAUCCGGAAUACGAAAUAAUUGGAAGACAAGAAUAAAAAGAAUUACAAAAAAACUUGUCUAUAUUUCAAUCUUGACGAAUCUUGAAUACAAUGAGACAACUUUGUGUGUUACACGCUUAUUUUAAAAUUGUUUACAACUAUUAUAUAUUUACAUCAAUGACAAAAUUAUACACAAUGUUGUAGAUGUGUCUGUUUUGCAGAGGAGUGAUAAACGUUCUCUACAAUAAUAAAUCUAAAUGAUCUCACGACUGUACAAAUUCACCACUUCGAAAUAUAAAAAUUGAGCAAUUCAUACUAAUAUGUAAAGAAAAAAAAACUGAUGAUUUCAUGACGCAGAGGUUUUUAGUUGAAAAUUCGGAAGAACUGAUAUAAAAAGAUAAUCGCAGCAAUAGAGGAAAAAUGUAUAAUUUACAUCGCCAAUGAACAACAGCUCUUGAAUUGAUAUGUAACCGGACUGUUUUUUUGGGUGUUUUCUUUAAAAUCUUCGCAAUAGAUUCGAAGACUUUCAUUAAAAGAAUGGACUAGAAACGUAUGUAACCUUUUUCGAAUGUUUUUCCUUAUAUAAACUUCCUCUCAAAUAUCUUACACGUUCAAGGACAUCGGUUGAUCCGGAAUCGUUCAAUGAAACAAGAGUUGAAAGAGGAAUGACGAACCUUCGAAAAUUUGGGUAAACCACACGUUAGUUUGUACCGAUGAUUUGAAUUUUAUUGUUAUACUUUGAAACAUAAAUAUCGACGGAUUCAUGAAACAGACAUUUAAAAAAAAUAACGCUUUGAUUUUAGCGCCAAUUUUACGAUUACCUCAUUCAGUAAAUGAUAAUGAGAAAAGAGGGAGUGAAGACAGGGGAAAACUAUAUAUUGAUAAUCGUCAAUCCGGACGUAAUCAUGGGUACGAAAAUAAAUUAAUAUUUGUUUAAUAUCUUUCAGGAAGAAACGAAUUUCCGUAGCACUUGUUGAGGAGACAACCCGCGGCAUAUGGCUCCAUUUCGUGAUGUGCACUAAUUUAAUGAUUUCUCCAACGGACGAUGAAUUUUAAGGCCUGUACGAAAUAUGGGACUGAGAAUGGGCAACAAAAUUAUCGAAUCCUUCCAUAAUUCGAUUGUCACCAUUCGGUGGACAACAUUAUUAUGUACAAACUUGGAUGAUGAUGUUUUUCGCAAUGAAAAUUCAUGAUCCCAGUAAGGAAAAUAAGAAAGAAAAAAUGAGGCUAUCAGUCUAUCGAUCCUCGCCACGUGUUUAGAAUGCAAAAUCCGGGACGGGCACUCCGAAGUUGAAAGAGACCAUUUUUUGUUCAACAUUUUUACAGAUUUCAUUGUUACAAUGAUAUAUUUCCUGGCUGACUGUACUGUCCGAGUCUGGAAUGCUUAUCGACUGCUCUCACCGCGAAAUAGUAGUUGUUGCCUUCUGAAAACUACAAAAUAAUAUUCUUGUUUAUCACAAAAGAUUUAUCAUAUGUUUUCAAGGAUUUUCAAACACAAAAUGAUAAAAAAAAAAAUUGAGCUUCCGACGGUAUAUCAUUGUUCUCAUCAUUCCCGAACAAUCAAUCGCAGAGAAAAAUUGCCAAGCAUAAGGGUCGAUUUAGUGACCCUAUCAACUUAAAAUUUGAUAUGUUUCUAAAUCAGAUAUCAAAGAUUAAAACCAUUAAUUAUAUGAAUUGAAUCGCAGGAAUUGUAACCAUACUUUAAAAUAGGGUGAUCAACGCCCAUCUGAAUUAAAAAUAUUGAGUUGAAGAAGCUGUAUUUGUGGGGCUAUCGUGAUCUCUGAUCUAAGCUGUUGAUUAAUUACGUGCAUCUUCGUCAAACGUUAACUUUUUGCAAUGUACUACCAAAUCAUGUAAAAGACUCUAAAUGAAAUAUUUUCUGUAAUCAUCUUGAACAUUAUUUACUAUUGAAAAAAAUGAUGACUUUUUUAUUGAUACUGUGCUAUGUAUGAAUAACCGUGGUAUUUGUUUUAAAAAAAUAUAGUGAAAGACUGUUGA